rnacentral:lncRNA from 1 species
CUCAGUUUGCAUAGAGCCCAUUUUAAGCCCUCAGUAAGCAUAUGACUAGUGGCUUCUGAACCAAGUGGUGUGAGAUUUUAGAGCUCAGGCAGCUGCAAAGUGGACUAGAGGCCUUUCUGAUCACUCUUAAACACCCCUCAGUUCUGCUGUUUCAUCCAUGUGGCCCCUGAGAGUGAGCCAUUGCAAGUAUUUCCACGGGAGCUCAUCUGCCUAUGCAUUUAUGUGAGGUUGUGGUUUGGGGCCGGGGCCACAGAAAGGCAAAGAGAAGAAGAUCCUCCUGAGACAGUCAUAGCCUGAACGAGAGGGCAAAGCGGACACGAAAGUUAAAGUGAAGAUCGUGGUCCGGAGACCUGAGCAUCUUCUGUGAGUGCAUCCCUGGGGCUACAGGAUGGGAAGAUGCAACACUGAUCGAGUUAAGGUCAACUCAGAGUCAGUGGGAGGAGGCGGGUGAGAGUGUUCCACAAACCGUGGGUCACUCAUCACCAUUUGCAGAUAAGCCCUGGAAAGCACCGGGAAGUACCACUUCUGUUGGAGAACAGCACACCACAAUGCCAUUGGGCCUGAUGACGUGGGCAACCUGGCCGGCAGGGACGCCUGUGAGUUCCCAGGAUGUGCUGGUUCCAUCGUCCACGAUGAAUGUGGUUGUGAUGGACGCUGGGCAGCUCUGUCCACAGUUAUUCAGAGAAGACUCAUCAUGGGUCUCAAGAUACGUAUGCAAGUCAAUCUCUCUAUCUUCCGUUUCUUCAUCCAUUCCAUCCACCUGACUGAGUGCCCUCUCAUUUAUAUAUGUCUUAAUAUUUUAUAUGCUGCAUAAAAUAUCCAAAUGCAUAUACAAUAAUUCUCUAAAUAUAGCAUAUGAUAUUUAAAUGUAUAAAAUAUAUGUAUAAACAUACCUUGUGUAUACCUCCUAUUGUCAAGUGUGGAGAAAGCUAGCAGGUACCCUCUUAACCAGUUAACCAGUCAGUUAACUAACCUCUGUCUAACUAACUAACUAAACUCUGUCAGCUAACCAGUUCUGAUGAUUUUAGACAUGUCUCUUCCACUUGGGUGUUUUCACCUUGUGCUCACAUUUAAGUUUUCAGACGCACAUGCGUGUGCUCCGGGUGUGCGUGGAGAGUCAUCAGCCAGCCUGUCAGGUUGGAUCUGAUCCCAGGGUGGUGGAAAGCCCCCCUCCUGGCCUGGCAGUGCCCGUGUGUGACUUGUGAUGAUGUAUGACUGUGCCAAGGCUUGUUAUGUCACGUCCCUUGAUAACUCUGUAUAAUUAAUGUGAUGCCAUCUGAUGCAGCAGUGGGUAGACGUUUAAGAAAUAAAAAGUUGUCCAUGCCCCGUGGAGCACAUCUGUUUAAUGGCAUAAUUCAAAUUAAUUUCAAACAAUUUCGUAAAAGCUCAUGGAGCCGUUCCACAUUUCUUCCUGAUGGCCCCCCCAGUUACCACGGCACAAGGCUCUGAAAAGCCACUCUGGAGUCUAUUCGCAUGAAGCACAUUUUUAACAAUUCUUUAUUUUUUAAAAGUUUUA